GAAAGAACAUCUUAGGGAGCACCGACUCGAAGGAAAGGAGAUGGCCAUUAAUAGAUUACAAAUAUACAUGUAAAGCAUUUUUCGACUAUUCUUGGAUAUAAGGAGCACCAGGGUCCCCUCGCCAUCCCUCCACCCCCACCCCUUGGCCCCAUGCCCCCCACCCUCUAACCGCCUCCUCCAGAGGUAAGGGCCUCAGUGUGUGUUCUCUCCCCUCCUCUACCCACCCCAGCAGCGGACACACAACACAAGCGUCUCCCCGGCUUCCGCUUCCUCCGCGCUGCUGCACCACUGCUGGGGUAUUCACGCUCCAGGCUGUUUUCUUUGAGAGACUAUAAAAAUAUGCAAAUGGCUAUUGUUAAGAGCCAAAAGUAGAGAGUAUUUUUCUCCCCGUACGCCGCUUGUGUUCCUGGUGAGUAUAAUGUGCAGAGAGGGCUGAGGGGUUUCCUUCAGUCUUUAGUCUCUCUCUCUCACACACAGGCUCACAAAGAGCUGGAGAUGACCAGGUACAGAGGAAGGAUAUUAGAAAUAUUCUCUCAGGAAGCCAUUGUCUCUUUCCAUUGUGGUCAUGUUCGUGUAAGAGAGAGAGAGAGAAAGAGAAAGAGCGAGAGGGAGAAAGAGAAAGAGAGAGAGAGAGAGAGAGAAAGAGAGAGAUAGAACAAGAGAGAUAUAGAGAGAGAGAAAAAAGAGAGAUAGAGAGAAAAAGAGAGAGGUAUUAGGAUGAAAUCCAAGCUUCACCACGGGUAGUAGCAGCUAGGAAGUCAGGCCUUUAUAUAAAGUCCCUGAGCAGAGAGAGAGAGAGAGAGAGAGAGAGAGAGUGAGAGAGUGAGAGAAGAGAGAGAAAGUAAGUAAGGAGCCACAUUUGUAAAGCCCUCACGGUCUCAAGCAGGAAGACUUUUUGAAGUGAUUAUGGAGACAGUUCAGAUCAAAGGAUUUGACAAGUCUGAGUGCUCGCCAAAUACGAGCCGGGCUAAUCACGCUGAAGCCCUCCGUACAAGACACCACUGGUCCCUCCAGCUGCUUUGCAAAUGUAACGUGACACUUAGGGAUAAACAGAUUAUCAGGGGACAUAAGAGAAAAAAUCCUCUCAGACUUGUAGAAGUGAAAUAGUUUAUUUAAUGAACUUGGAGACUACCAAUGUACUGUAUAUGGUGAUGUUGAAUAAUAAUUCAUUUUCUGUAAAGUCGUAAUGACCUAAUUUACAUUUUUUUAAAUACAAGUUCUAUGUUACAUGAAGGGUAGUUGUUAUGUAGGAUGAUAUUUAGAUUUUCUAUUUUUUUUGUUGUAUAAUCCAUAGGCCUAAUCUUCCAAACACCUCAAGACAUUUUGAAACAUAAGCUCAGGGACAUUCUCAAAGCGUCUGUCCUGCAUUCAUUCUCUUUUAAAUGUUGUCAUAUUGUGAUAUCAUAAAUGUAGAGUAAAUUCAUAUGAACAAUUUCCCUUUAUUUCCCUCUUACUUUCACUAAGAUAUUUGAUUUGAUUCUAUUUUCAGUAGUAUCUUAUGCUGCAUUCUAUCAUGACCAAGAUAAUGUUGAAAUCAAAAGAAUUUACAAUUGGCUGAGAUAUUUUGGCACAAAGUGUGUGCCUGUAAAUUAAAUAAUGCAUAUGUAAAUGUGUACCUGUAAAUUAAAUAAUGCAUAUGUAAAUGUGUACCAUGCAAACUCAAUAAACAGAACAACCAAACCCUA